AACAACAUCAACAAUAAUAAUGAUUUCUAAGGUACACUAAUAAUAAUGUUCUGCUGUACAGUGAUAAGGUUACAAAAUAUGAAAGAAUUUUUUGUGUGAUGCAACUAAAAUACAGUAUAUAGAUGUUGUAUUAAUGACAAUGUAUCUCCAAGGCUGAUAGCAGGUGGAGGAUUCUACCUCAAUUCACCACCAAAAAAAGCUUUGCCAACUGGUGUACUUUAAAUCAUGGUCUGCAGUACCGGACCGUACCACCCGAUAUGGGCGGUACAUACCGGUCCGACCGGCUUCCGGUACGCAGACCAUCUGUUACCGGUCCGACACUGUAGUAGCACUGUAGUAGUGCUACAGUGAUACGGUAUUGCGGACCUUGCUUUAAAUACCGCUCUCCUGCCCACCUUAGAGUUCUCUUUUGAGACUUCAUAAGCCUCUGAUGCCCUACAGAAUGAUGAUCAAGUUGCUUUUCAGUGGAUAAUAAGGUAUCAUUAAGGAGUUCGUUAAAAGAUACACAACUGCAUUACACAUUGGUAGAUAAUACCAUUUCAAUUCUGUAAUUUAACACUAAAUUUUAAGGUUUUUAAGUAUUGAGUUUGUCAGCAUAUUAAAACAACAAUGGUCAAAUAAUACGUCGAUGCAUAUUGAAUUUGGACACAUAACCACCAUUUGUGUCAUCAAAGUGAGAAAGCAGUGGGUAGUGGAUAGGUUCUUGACAGAAAAAUUACAACCAUUGCUUUAUCUACCCUCCUUCCAUCAGAAAAUGGGGGGAAAAAAUGAAAUCUAAAGAACUUGGGAUGAAUCAAGAUAAGGGAAAUGAUAAGACAGGAGUUCAGCAGCAAGAAAAAACAAAAGAGAAAAUUAGGAUGAAGCAACAAACACAAAACAGAAAUAGGAAAAGCAAGAAAGUAAUCUGAAGUAAUGGUGAUCGGUUCAAAAGGUAAUACAUGAAAGACAGUACUGAAAUCAUAACUUCAGCUAACAUGAGGUCCAAUAAAUUAAAGUCAUGGUUUGGGAGCCCACUGUCGCUUAUAAGGUGCCAAGGUUUCUUCACAACAGAUACUUGACAUGGAUCCUCAAUUGAUGAAGAAGCAUGAGCAUGGCAAUCCUCCUCUAGUAAUAUAAUCGGUUAGUAAAUAAGAAAUAAUAUUAAACUGAAUUCCAGAUAACAGUGUCCAAAGAAAGAACCUUCUAACGAAAACUCUCAUAGUUUCUUUAAAAGCCCUUCUAAAUUAAAGAAAAAGCUCUCAUAUUUUCUUCCUUCGACAACCAUGUCUUCUAUUCUUUUACCUUAUCAUUUACCAUGUACCCAGCCCACUUAAGAGGACGAACAAACCGAGCUGCAAAACGACAGGCAUCGCCAGCAGCAGAUCAACAAUCCACAAGUUUUAGCUAUCAAAAUAUCCAAAAGAACUUACUUUAGAAUGUCUGUAAACGCACCAUAAGAAAACCAUAACUCAGUUUCCAGGUCCGGUUGUGAACACCGAUGUACUGUAGGUGAGCCUACUACCUUUCACACAAGGACAGCCAUUACCGCCGAAAUGUGUGAAUGGCUAACAAAUCACCAGCUUACUUUCCUUUAGCUGCCAAUGUGAUGUGCCCUUAGAACAACCUCUCCCAAUCCAAAUACAUAAACAUCUUUAAGCCCCAUACUCUUUUCCUCAGCCAACUAUAAUAACUAAAGGCAUCCUAAAGUCGUACAGAAACUAACUAGGCAUCAAAUUAAACAUAGAAUGUCACCCUUGGCUAAUUGACUAUCAUAUGUUCCAGGGUACAAAAGGAGCUAAGCAAAUGCAAACAUCAAAGUAGAGUAGCUAAAAUGAUAUCAUUCAUUGAAGAAGAACAACAGCCACUAUAAAAGAAUUUACUGUUCCCAUUGUAUAAUUACUGGAGACAUCAAACUUCAAAUUUGUUUCCAUUUUUUUCUUAGGGAACUGUUCUUCAAUUUUCCAAUGUUAGUGAAUGCGUCUGAAAAGAAACCGCAAUCAAAAGUUACCUCAAAGGACGCAAACACAUAGUUACUAUCGGUGUGCUUACUGACCAUUCACACAAAGAUUACAGCCAUUACAGCUGCGAGGGUGUGACUGGCUAAUUGGCCACCGGCAUAAACUCUCUCAUAGCUCCGAUUUCGGAAGAGACCUUUAUCGAAAUAGCAAUGAAGUGAUAGCAUGAAGCUAAUACCUCGCUCCUCCCAUUGGAAGCCACCUUAUCCAAACGCUGUCGCAAAGCCCAAGUCUUCAGCCGCACUGCAUAACAACAGAGAAGGAAAGAAGUCAAGCAUUUCGCCUACCUCGUCUUGCUCAAGGUUCGCAGAUCCAGUUUCGCCAUCUCGGAACCCUAAGUGGCGAAAGACCAUGAUGACGGGGAUUGAUCGCCUGAAGGAACUCCUCGACGGUGGUGGCGGCGAGGAAGAUCGAAGGCCUCGUCUCCAUGUCGAAGGGAAAUUGGCCGGCGAAGGUCGAGAAGAGAGAUAGGGUUUCAAGCAUUCAUCGAGAGAUUCGAACCGUUGGAUGCUUCAGUCAGUAGACGUGUUGUCCAUCGGACGGGUGCUUAUGCGACGGAUAGAGGUCCGCAUACAACCGUUGUGCGGUCCCAUUCCCCCAAAUGGUCGACGGAUAAACCCUACGCCAGAUUAAAAUCAGAUGUGGUAGUCGAUAGAGGUCCGCUCUCUCCGCUGCCC
rnacentral:lncRNA from 1 species